GCCGACGUAGCUCAGUUGGUAGAGCAACUGAUUCGUAAUCAGUAGGUCGGAGGUUCGACUCCUCUCGUCGGCACCA
rnacentral:tRNA from 9 species